AUUGAACGCUGGCGGCAGGCCUAACACAUGCAAGUCGAACGGCGCGGCGGACGGGUAAGUAAUGCCUAGGAAUCUACCUGGUAGUGGGGGAUAACGUCCGGAAACGUACGCUAAUACCGCAUACUAUCAGCAGAGCCUCGGUGGGAUUAGAUAGUUGGUGGGGUAAAGGCCUACCAAGGCGACGAGCCGUAACUGGUCUGAGAGGAUGAUCAGUCACACUGGAACUGAGACACGGUCCAGACUCCUACGGGAGGCAGCAGUGGGGAAUAUUGGACAAUGGGCGAAAGCCUGAUCCAGCCAUGCCGCGUGUGUGAAGAAGGUCUUCGGAUUGUAAAGCACUUUAAGUUGGGAGGCGUUACCAACAGAAUAAGCACCGGCUAACUUCGUGCCAGCAGCCGCGGUAAUAC
rnacentral:rRNA from 1 species